rnacentral:rRNA from 1 species
GACUCUCGACAACGGAUAUCUUGGCUCUCGCCACGAUGAAGAACGUAGCAAAAUGCGAUACUUGGUGUGAAUUGUAGAUUCCCGUGAAUCAUCGAGUCUUUGAACGCAAGUUGCGCCCGAUGCCGUAGGCUGAGGGUGUGCCUGCUUGGGCGUCA